ensembl:lncRNA
UUGAAGUUAUAAGCCUUUUUAUUCAGUGUAAAAGUCUGAUCAUACAAAAACCACCUGGUAAACUUUCACAGCCAUGCGGAAAAAUUUUGCAAUGCUUGCAAACAUAGAAGCCAUCCAUUACAACCAGUAUGAUGAUCCAAACAUUUGGCUUUAUUUACAAAGUCUAUCAAAGCUUGAUCACAGCACAAAUUUACCAUAUGAAAGGAAACUGGUAUACACUAUCAAAAAGAUGUACAAACAUUAAACUGCAAUCUAAUAAUGUACCUCAAGCGUCAGUGUUAAUAUCAAUAGAUUUAUAACUAUUAACAUAGACUUUUUUUCAUUUGUAUCCAAAAUAAAUUUUGCACCAUAACCCUCUUAACUCACAAUUAUUUUCAGACAAUAGUAAUUCCAAUACAUUAAGUCAUUUUUAUCAAAUAUAUAUAUAGCACCACAAUAUAAUGGUUUAAUAUAAUCAGGGGUGAGGAGCUAUCGCAUACAAAAGACCCGUGUUAGUAUCCAAGAAGAAAAAUUUAAAACAACUCCAGCACGCUUCCAGUCACUGCACACAUCUGGCAGAACCAGUUCAGGUGCAACAGACCUCUGCAACCACAACUCAGUCCUGCUACGGAAACCCAUCAGUACCAAGAAAGGAUAAAACAUGAAUUUUUAAAAAGGUCAUUUGAAAUUAUGAAACUUCAACUGCAAAUUUAAGCCAGUUAUGAGAUGCGACAAAAUUUGGACUCAUCUAAAAUUUGACUUUUGACUUUGAAUAGGUGAAGGAUUAUGUGUGUCAAAAUCAUUCAAAUCCAAAAUAAUACAAAACCAAAAAUUAGAGAAGUUUGAAUUUAACCAAAAGUAUAGCUAAGUAGCAAAUUUGACUCAGCCAAAAUUAGGAGUCAAAAUUUUGAAAAGGUAAAUUAGUAAAAAAAAAAUGUAAUCAGGGUCAUUUUAAUGUUUUGAUAUACCAAGCCAAAUUUAUGACAGCGUAAGUAAAUAUUCUGAAAUAAGUCAAAAAUUAUAGAUACCGUCAAAUUUGACAUGAUGAGCCAAAGUUAAGUCAACAUUAUAAGCCAAACACAAAAUGCACUUUUUCUGAGUCAAAACUGUGAAAUAAAACAUAGUACAUAAUGUACUUGGAAUCUUAUGGAUCAUGUGUUUUUUCCCCUUUCUUGACAUGAAUGGUAUUUCAUACCUUCCUGAUCAUAGCGGAAGAGGGACAACAGACAGACUGAAGAACCAAUGACAGCUACAAAAAAAAAAACCCAAACAAAAAAAAAACAUGCUCUACACAACAUCGCCACAAAGUGUUCAGUUACAUGCAUUCAGUUGAUCAGUGCACCUAAACCCAAAACGACUCAUCUCCAGCUACUGAUGCCCCAACACUCUAGAUGCACAGCUACCGGGCGAUGGAGCUUUGGGGAUUAAGGUGAAAAAAGAAAGUUUAAUAUCUACAAAGUGAGGUGAGAAACUAAAGAUUUAAAACAGUGUUGAUUGUGC